rnacentral:rRNA from 1 species
GAUCCUGGCUCAGGAUGAACGCUAGCGACAGGCUUAACACAUGCAAGUCGAGGGGCGAGCAUAGUAGGUAGCAAUACUUAUUGGUGGCGACCGGCGCACGGGUGAGUAACGCGUAUGCAACUUACCUAUCAGAGGGGGAGUANCCCGGCGAAAGUCGGAUUAAUACUCCAUAAAACAGGGGUCCCGCAUGGGACUAUUUGUUAAGGACUCAUCGCUGAUAGAUAGGCAUGCGUUCCAUUAGG